UAUCCAUGAUGUGGGCUGUCUCUCAGUAUUCCCUUAAAUCUAUCCCAAGUUUCAUAGAUAGAUUCAAAGUUUGUUUUCUUGAAGCUUGCAAUAAGAUUGUGAAGGUG